rnacentral:lncRNA from 1 species
GUAUAGGGGACUUUCAGGAUAGCAUUUGAAAUACAAGUGAAGAAAAUAUCUAAUAAAAAAUUAGAAAAUAUUAAAAUAUUAUUCCAUCCUUAAACCACUCCAGCUGAAAUACUGCUUUAGGUACUUAUUAAUCGGGUAAAUAUGUCUGCAGACUUGUGCUUGAUUCUGACAGAGAUUUGCAUAACAAUCAUGAUACCACACAGCACCCACCCCCUGACAACAUAUUAAACGUAAGUCCCUCAGAGUGUUUCCUCUUCCCUGUUUCUCUCAAGUCAGUUUCUGGUGGGAGAAAAAUAGACACAGAGAGAGCAGGAAGACUCCCAGGCAAGUUGCUCUCACAGGACUGGUUCACUUCCACGACUUUUCAGAAAGAUGGGGUCUUAAGUUUUGAUUGGAUAAAGUCUUUAUUAGGUGUAUUUAUAAAGCGGUUCUCAUCUGAAGAUGUACGAGGGCAUUGUUACACCAGAGGGACCUGGUUGCUUCAGAAGCAUUUCCUUGAUGGUAAUAGUGUAAAAGGACGAUAUCCAUACUUUAAUUUAGCAGUCUGCAUGGGUACCUUAGCAUCUCGUAGACCAUCAGGUCAAGCACCACAGCGAUUCCACUGAAAGUCAGAGAGAAGCCCAGAGGCAAGAGGCUCUGCCCUCUGGUCCAGGAUGACAGGAUCAGAAGGGGUCAAGAUUCGUGAGACAUCUGCCCAACUUCCUUACCUUCUCUGAAUAACUGAGCUGAAUGAAUGCGACAUGUAGGAAAAUGUGGGCUCUCCUUACAGUCAGUUGUUGUGGUGGGGUACGUCAUGUCUGUAUAUAGAGUUUAAGUGCAUUUGAGGAUUUAAGACACACAACAUUCAUUUGUAAAAACAGAAAUGUACAGAACCCAAAGUGCUUGAAAUAGUAGUUUCUACAAAGCCUUUUUACCCCCAACACACAUAGUUAGGAAACUGGUCAAUUUUGCAGUGCACAAAAUGGCAGCAAACAGAGACUUUUCCUUCAAGUUUCCCAAGUCGGGGAUCUUAGUUGAGGGACAAGAUGCUCAGAAGUGACUUGACUCUGGGGAAGCAUUCUCUUGUUGGUUCCAUUCAGAGAGCCGUUCGCACAUCUCAGGUGCCCUUCAUUCCACGUGAUGGAUGGCAAGUGGCUUGCUGGAGACGUUUUUAUGGAAGACAUCAUCAGAUUGCUUGCUUUGGAGGAAUUUCACAGCUGCACAUUACCCGCAUUUCAGAUUUUUGAAAUAUCAAAUGAAAAAAAAAUCACUUGAAGAAUAAGGAGUGCUCUAGUUAGUGGGGUAGGCAUCACAGUUUUGAGUGAAUGUUGCUUAUGGAGAAGACUGUGUUGCAUUCAGUCUUCUAAGUCUGCUAUUCACUUGAUGUGUCCUGUGGCACACUACAGGACUCUGGCACACAGUCUCACCACCUCCACCCCGGUCAGCAACUACAAGGUUUCUAGGUACUGCAGUCCAUGGUUGUAUCCUUGCUUUGAUAACACUAGGCUGACACUGGGGACAGGCUUCUGGUUUUCUGGCUGAAACUUCCUCUACCUCAGGGCUCCCUCAGGGGGAGUAGGCAGGGAUUAGGGAGAGAGCGUGGGCACUAAGGUGUGCUCUGCCCAGCUGAGAGGUGAGGCAAAGGUCAACACCAGCCCUUGUGCUUUGGCCUUGGGUACAGUGAGAUCCAGGCUAGAGGCUGACUUCCUUAUGGUAGGUGCUCAGGGGUAGCAGGGCACUAGGAAGAGGGAGUGCUUGGUUCCAUUGUGAUGGCACAAGGAAAGGAUUCUUUCGUUAUAAUCUCUAGGUGCCAUCAGCAGGCUUGCUUAGUUCUGAGGACAGUCCAGGAAGAAAAUUGAUUAAGGAGAUUUUUUUUUGGUUUAAAAUUGAAAACAGAGUUUUAAAAAUACAAUAUAUUAGAUUAUAGUUUCUCCUCUCCCAGCUCCCCUCAGAUCAUCUCCAACACUCCUCAGUCAAACCCACAUCCUUUCUUUCUCUCAUUGGAAUACUACAGACAUCUAAAAAUUAAUCAUAAAAGAAAAUAAAACAAGAUAAAAUAAAAUCAAACAAAACAGAAUAGGAGGACAUAACCUAGAAACC